UACAGAGGUCUCAAGCGUUGUUCGGAUUCAUUGGGCGUAAAGGGCGCGUAGGCGGUGGGGUAAGUCUGGUGUGAAAUCUCGGAGCUCAACUUCGAAAUUGCACUGGAUACUGCUCUGCUAGAGGGCUGGAGAGGAGAUCGGAAUUCACGGUGUAGCAGUGAAAUGCGUAGAUAUCGUGAGGAAGACCAGUGGCGAAGGCGGAUCUCUGGACAGCUCCUGGCGCUGAGGCGCGAAGGCUAGGGGAGCAAACGGG
rnacentral:rRNA from 1 species